GUCGAACGAGAUCCUUCGGGGUCUAGUGGCGCACGGGUGCGUAACGCGUGGGAAUCUACCCUUGGGUUCGGAAUAACAGUGAGAAAUUACUGCUAAUACCGGAUAAUGUCGCAAGACCAAAGAUUUAUUGCCCAAGGAUGAGCCCGCGUAAGAUUAGCUAGUUGGUGGGGUAAAGGCCUACCAAGGCGACGAUCUUUAGCUGGUCUGAGAGGAUGAUCAGCCACACUGGGACUGAGACACGGCCCAGACUCCUACGGGAGGCAGCAGUGGGGAAUAUUGGACAAUGGGCGAAAGCCUGAUCCAGCAAUGCCGCGUGAGUGAUGAAGGCCUUAGGGUUGUAAAGCUCUUUUACCCGGGAAGAUAAUGACUGUACCGGGAGAAUAAGCCCCGGCUAACUCCGUGCCAGCAGCCGCG
rnacentral:rRNA from 1 species